rnacentral:rRNA from 1 species
UACGUAGGUGGCAAGCGUUGUCCGGAAUCAUUGGGCGUAAAGCGCGCGUAGGCGGCCCGGUAAGUCCGUUGUGAAAGUCAAAGGCUCAACCUUGAACGCCGAUGGAUACUGCCGGGCCAGAGUCCGGAAGAGGCGAGUGGAAUUCCUGGUGUAGCGGUGGAAUGCGCAGAUAUCAGGAGGAACACCAAUAGCGAAGGCAGCUCGCUGGGACGGUACUGACGCUGAGGCGCGAAAGCGUGGGGAGCAAACAGG